CGGGAAAUCGCUUUGGAAUCCAGGAAAUCCGGGAAUUUCGGGAUUCCUACCGAUUUUCAGCG
rnacentral:pre_miRNA from 1 species